rnacentral:rRNA from 1 species
GACGAACGCUGGCGGCGUGCUUAACACAUGCAAGUCGAACGGAAAGGCCCUGCUUUUGCGGGGUGCUCGAGUGGCGAACGGGUGAGUAACACGUGAGUAACCUGCCCUUGACUUUGGGAUAACUUCAGGAAACUGGGGCUAAUACAGGAUAGGAGCUCCUGCUGCAUGGUGGGGGUUGGAAAGUUUCGGCGGUUUGGGAUGGUCUGGAGGCUUAUCAGCUUGUUGGUGGGGUAGUGGAUUACCAAGUCUUUGACGGGUAGCCGGCCUGAGAGGGUGACCGGCCACAUUGGGACUGAGAUACGGCCCAGACUCCUACGGGAGGCAGCAGUGGGGAAUAUUGCAGAAUGGGCGGAAGCCUGAUGCAGCGACGCCGCGAUCGUGAUGACGUCCUUCGGGUUGUAAACCGCUUUCGCCUUUGACGAAGCGUGAGUGACGGUAAUGGGUAAAGAAGCACCGGCUAACUACGUG